UACAGGGGUCCCAAGCGUUGUUCGGAUUUACUGGGCGUAAAGGGCGCGUAGGCGGCGGGGUAAGUCUGGUGUGAAAGCUCCGAGCUCAACUCGGAAAAGCAUUGGAAACUAUCCCGCUAGAGGGUCGGAGGGGAGACUGGAAUUCUCGGUGUAGCAGUGAAAUGCGUAGAUAUCGAGAGGAACACCAGUGGCGAAGGCGAGUCUCUGGACGACUCCUGACACUGAGGCACGAAAGCUAGGGGAGCAAACAGG
rnacentral:rRNA from 1 species